GAGGAAAGCUUUAAAGGAGAGGUGACAUUUGGAGGCUUUGCAAGUAUCAUCUCAUUUAAUCCUCCAGUAUUGGAGGAACCAGGCGAUAUUAUGACCCAGGGGCAGAGACAGCUAGGUAGCCAGCUAGGAUGUAGCUAGGAUGCCAGCUAAGAUGCCUUCUUUCUUGUUACGUGAAGCCUGACUUCACUUGAGCAGGCAAUGUGGAUGGCUCAAAGUCUACAUUUUUCUACAUUUUCCAGACUCCCUUGCAGACAGCCUGUCUUUAUAAUAUGGAAGCAGAGGUUACCUCAGUCUCUUUUUCAAAAAACUAUUUACUGAUUGCAAAAAUAACAUAUAUGACUUUAUAAAAAAAAAAAAAAGUCUUCUCAUAACUCCUUCUAUGUAACAGAUUGGUAAACAUCCUUUCAACUCUUCCUCUACACAUAAAAGUGUCAUAUAUAUAGGGUCAUAAAAAUGAGCUCAUGGUUUAUAUACUAUUUUGCAAACCUUUGCUUUUUUUUAGUUAACAUCGCAUCUUGGACAUUUCUCCGUAUCUUGCAUUUACAUUAAUCUGGUUCUAUUUAAGGUAGGAGAGUAUCUUUUAUCCUAAUGCUCCCCUUAAAAAAAAAAAAAAAGUGUCUCGAUAGAUCUUUGACCUUGUGCUAUAAAGUGUCAUCAGGUGUUUACAAGAGACGGUUGAUGAGAAGGACAUUAGAGAUUAGCACUCAUCCCCUAACAGGACUGAGCUGGUCCCUUGAGUUGUCAGGCUGGCAAAUGCCCAGUUUUAGAAAAAACAACACUCUAGGAUCAAUAUUUUGUGACCAGAAGGCCAUGAAGCUCAGAGUUAGGAACAAACAACUUGGGCUGGGUGGGUCAGGAGAUCCAAAAAGCUUCUCAGAUUCUCGAAAACAGUUCUCUCUGCCACCUUUCCGGCAGCACAGACACUGGCCUGGGAGUGGGAUGGGAGAUCACCUGAGAAAUAGGUAGUCAUGUGGAGAGCAGAGAAGUGAAUCUGCCCCAAGCCAUUCCACCAAUGGGAUGAAUACUUGCCCCACCUACCACAGGAAGUUAUUGUAAGUAUCACAUGAAUUAAUGUAGCAUAAUUGGAAAAAUAAGUGCCAUAAAAUCUAAGCAACAAUUAUGAAGUAUUAUGAAUCCUAUGAAACAUGAAUGCAAAAGAGGUAUUAUAUAUUAAUAGAAAACACU
rnacentral:lncRNA from 12 species